AACGAACGCUGGCGGCAGGCUUAACACAUGCAAGUCGAACGCAUCCUUCGGGGUGAGUGGCAGACGGGUGAGUAACGCGUGGGAACGUGCCCUUCAGUUCGGGAUAACCCAGGGAGACUUGGGCUAAUACCGGAUACGUGCGAGAGCAGAAAGAUUUAUCGCUGAAGGAUCGGCCCGCGUCUGAUUAGCUAGUUGGUGGGGUAAUGGCCCACCAAGGCGACGAUCAGUAGCUGGUCUGAGAGGAUGAUCAGCCACAUUGGGACUGAGACACGGCCCAAACUCCUACGGGAGGCAGCAGUGGGGAAUAUUGGACAAUGGGCGCAAGCCUGAUCUAGCCAUGCCGCGUGAGUGAUGAAGGCCUUAGGGUUGUAAAGCUCUUUCGUCCGGGACGAUAAUGACGGUACCGGAAGAAGAAGCCCCGGCUAACUUCGUGCCAGCCGCCGCCGUAAGAC
rnacentral:rRNA from 1 species